rnacentral:rRNA from 1 species
GCCAGACUCCUACGGGAGGCAGCAGUGGGGAAUAUUGCACAAUGGGGGAAACCCUGAUGCAGCGACGCCGCGUGAGCGAUGAAGUAUUUCGGUAUGUAAAGCUCUAUCAGCAGGGAAGAAGAUGACGGUACCUGACUAAGAAGCCCCGGCUAACUACGUGCCAGCAGCCGCGGUAAUACGUAGGGGGCAAGCGUUAUCCGGAUUUACUGGGUGUAAAGGGAGCGUAGACGGCGAUGCAAGCCAGGGGUGAAAGCCCGGGGCCUAACCCCGGGACUGCCCUUGGAACUGCAUGGCUGGAGUGCGGGAGGGGCAGGCGGAAUUCCUGGUGUAGCGGUGAAAUGCGUAGAUAUCAGGAGGAACACCGGUGGCGAAGGCGGCCUGCUGGACUGCAACUGACGUUGAGGCCCGAAAGCGUGGGGAGCAAACAGGAUUAGAUACCCCCGUAGG